rnacentral:rRNA from 1 species
GAUUAUGGCUCAGAACGAACGCUGGCGGGCAGGCCUAACACAGUGCAAGUCGAGCGCGCCCUUCGGGGUGAGCGGCGGACGGGUUAGUAACGCGUGGGAACGUACCCUUUGGUAGGGAAUAGCCACUGGAAACGGUGAGUAAUACCCUAUGAGCCCUUCGGGGGAAAGAUUUAUCGCCAAAGGAUCGGCCCGCGUUAGAUUAGGUAGUUGGUGGGGUAAUGGCCUACCAAGCCUACGAUCUAUAGCUGGUUUUAGAGGAUGAUCAGCAACACUGGGACUGAGACACGGCCCAGACUCCUACGGGAGGCAGCAGUGGGGAAUCUUGGACAAUGGGGGCAACCCUGAAUCCAGCCAUGCCGCGUGAGUGAAGAAGGCCUUAGGGUCGUAAAGCUCUUUCGCCUGUGAAGAUAAUGACGGUAGCAAGGUAAAGAAACCCCGGCUAACUCCGUGCCAGCCGCCGC